rnacentral:tRNA from 1 species
GUCUCGGUAGUGUAAGGUAUAGAGCACGGUACCCGGUAAGCACAAGUACGGGUUCGAGUCCCGUCCGAGACU